CUUUUUUUUUUUUUUUUUUUUUUUUUUUUUGAGACAGGGUCUCCCUCUGUCAACCAGGCAAGACCGCAGCAGAGCUAUUAUAGCACACUGCAGCCUUGACCUCCCAGACACAAGAUUCUCCCACCUCAGCCUCCUGAGUAGCUGGGACUAUAGCACGCUCCACCAUACCCAGCUAAUUUGUUAAUUUUUGUACAGACAGGGUCUCUGUAUGUUGCCCAGGCUGGUGUUAAACUCCUUGGCUCAAGCAAUCUUCCUACCUCUGCCUCCCAAAGUGCUGGAAUUGCAGGCCUGAGCCACUGCACCUGGCCACUGGUGGCUAAGUUGAAGCCAGUGCUUCAAUCCUAGAGCCCUUGAGAAUUAUGCUAAAUCUACUCUGCCUGUGCUCUAGAAAUGGAACAACAAAGCUUGGAUGACAGCGCACCUGUUCACAGCAUGGUUUACUGAAUAUUUUAAGCCCUCUGUUGAGAACUACUGCUCAGAAAAAAACAUUCCUUUCAAAAUACUACACCCAUUGACAGUGCACUUGGUCACCCAAAAGCUCUGAUGGAGAUGCAGAAGGAGAUUAAUGUUUUCAUGUUUGCUAAUAAAACAUCCAUUCUGCAGCCUAUGGAUCAAAGAGUAAUUUCAACUUUCAAGUAUUAUUUAAGAAAUACAUUUUUUAAGGCCCUAGCUACCUAGGUUCCUCUGAUAGAUCUGGGCAAAGUAAACUGAAAACCUGGAAAGGAUUCACCAUUCUGGGUGCCACUAAGAUCAUUCAUGAUUCAUGAGAGGAAGUCAAAAUAUCAACAUUAACAGGAGUUUGGAAGAAACGGAUUCCCACCCUCAUGGAUGGCUUGGAGGAACUCAGGACUUCAGUGGAGGAAGUAACUGCAGAUGUGGUGGAAACAGCAAGAGAAGUAGAAUUAGAAGUGGAGCCUGAAUAUGUGACUGAAUUGCUGCAAUCUCAUGAUCAAACUUAAACGGAUGAGCAGUUGCUUCUUACGGAUGAGCAAAGAAAGUGAUUUCUUGAGAUAGAAUCUACUCCUGGAGAAGAUGCUGUGUAUUGUUGAAGUGACAACAAAGGAUUUAGAAUAUUAAAUAAACUUAGUGGAUAAAGCAGCAACAUGGUUUGACUCCAAUUUUGAAAGUUCUACUGUGGAUAAAAUGCUAUCACACAGCAUCACAUGUUAGAAAUAUUUCGUGAAAGGAAAAGUCAAUCGAUGCAGCAAACUUCAUUAUCUUAUUUAAAGAAACUGACAGAGCCAUCCCAACCUUCAAGCAGCUACCAUCCUAAUCAGUCAGCAGUAAUCAACAUCAAGGCAAGAACCUCCAACAGCAAAACGAUUAUGUGUUAAUGGCUCAGAUGACCAUCAGCAUUUUGUAGUAAUAAAAUACUUUUUAAUUGAGGUA
rnacentral:lncRNA from 1 species